AUUUACACUGUUAUUUAUGAUGUGUAUAUAUGUGGGAAAUGUGAUUACAUUAAGAAUCAUGCAAAUUUAAUCAAAGAGGUUGUGGUCAGCAGUUUUCUCUCUAAUAAAAGAUGCUGUGACUGUAGGUUAUACGUGGCUUCAGAGAUGUACCCAAAGCCAGCAGAAUCUCGGUCUUGUAACGCAAGGUUCAGACAGCCAACUUCAGACUGCAGAUUGUUGACAAUAUUUCCACACGGGACCAUUGCUGAAAAAUGUUCCACUAAAACCAUUUCCUUCCUUUCUCUUCUUCUCUAUGUUCAACUUGUAAAAAUGAAUGUUUUCAAAUGACUUUCACUGGUAAUCUUUGCUUCAUCCAAUACAUAACUUCUCGUCUAAAUGGAGAAAAAAAGAGCCAGCCAAAAUCAGCCUACUUCAGACAGGCACUUGAGUCUGUUUAACUUGGAUUCCAGAUAAGAAAACUAACCACUGUGGGCAUGGCUGACGUACAGUAACAUGCUGGUGAUGUUUCUGAGGGAUCCUGAGUUUUUCUCCAGUGGAAACGCUUGCUUCAUCUCAACAUUUUCUCAAGUGGUGAUAAACCAUUUACUACUCUUCUAAUGAGAUGCUGAAAAUUAGAGGAUAGAAAAAGGGCUGCUUAAAACACUAGUAGAACUGCUAGUUCACUUCUAAAUGUGAUUUUUUUUUUCUUUUCUUUUUUGGUUAUAAAGUGAUCUUUAAUCAAGAAGGCUGGUUAAAGCCUUUUCAUCCACUCCACCCCCAACAAGACAAUGUUUCCUGAAGGCAGCACACGAUACCUUUUUUUAAUUUUAUUUUUGGAUGUAUUUAUUAUGGAUGUAAAUCAGACAGUCUGCCUGCCAAUGCCUUCUUUUCUUUGAAAAGGAGCUUGUUUCCCUCUGCUUUUGAUCUGUUCGAGUGAGUCUCUUCUUUAAGAAUUUCAGAAGCCAUUCCAUGAAUCUGUAACGAAGCGUGAAGUUAAAACAGGCUCCUCCUAACAAGAAGCAUAAUGGUGCUUCACUCAUGAAGAUUUUUCCAGUCUCAGUGCAUCUCAGCUGGAUGCAAUGCUCUGUGUGCAAGAUCAUCAUUGGAGUGCUGACGUGCAUGUGUGAAUUUAAGUGCAAUUAUUUACUUGUGUUCACUUGUGGGAGUUGAUUGAAUGGCCUGAGGAAAGCAGAUGAAUAAUGUAAGGAAAUCUUUGCAGAAUCACGCAAAGUUCUAAAUGGUUUUCAGUGCAACAUGAAACAUCCCUUACUCUUCUCUUCUUCUGAAUCCUCAGUUUCAUAUGCUUUCGUUGAAUUAUUUUUCUCCUUUCUCAUCAUCAAGUAAUCAACACUAAAUUGUUUAAAGGUGCUAUUACUGAACUUUCUGCUCUCUUCCAUGAAUUAAAAUUUUAUUUUGUCAAGCGGUGCAAGAACUCAGAAAAUAAAAACUCAGAAAAUAAACAUUUCUUUCCACUUUCUUGUGUGAUAUUGCUUUCUGUCAUUUCCAGUGUCCCCACACGUGUCAUUUUCAUCACGCUGAAAGCACAGUCCGUAACUGAAAAAUGGGCUUUGAAUUUGUGCAAUUGGCAAAAGCUGUGGCCUAAAAAGGCAUCGGAGCCCUUUCAAAAUGUUAUGAUAGAUUUUCCACAGAGAGGAUUUCUUUUUGCAUUGUACUGUAGAACAUAGAAUUAAUAUAAUGGAAAGAGAUGAUAGGCAUGCUCAGAAAGGCAGUUGUAUCU
ensembl:lncRNA